CCUACGGGAGGCAGCAGUGGGGAAUAUUGCGCAAUGGGCGAAAGCCUGACGCAGCGACGCCGCGUGAGGGAUGAAGGUCUUCGGAUUGUAAACCUCUGUCAGCAGGGAAGAACGGUCACUGUGCUAAUCAGCAGUGAAUUGACGGUACCUGCAAGGGAAGCACCGGCUAACUCCGUGCCAGCAGCCGCGGUAAUACGGAGGGUGCGAGCGUUAAUCGGAAUUACUGGGCGUAAAGCGCUCGUAGGCGGUAUGUCAAGUCAAGGGUGAAAUCCCCGCGCUCAACGUGGGAACUGCCUUUGAAACUGGCAAACUGGAGUGUGGGAGAGGAUGGUGGAAUUCCAGGUGUAGGGGUGAAAUGCGUAGAUAUCUGGAGGAACAUCAGUGGCGAAGGCGACUAUCUGGCACAUAACUGACGCUGAGGAGCGAAAGCGUGGGUAGCAAACAGGAUUAGAUACCCUAGUAGUC
rnacentral:rRNA from 1 species